CCUACGGGAGGCAGCAGUGAGGAAUAUUGGUCAAUGGGCGCGAGCCUGAACCAGCCCAGUAGCGUGAAGGAUGACUGCCCUACGGGUUGUACACUUCUUUUAUAAAGGAAUAAAGUGAGGCACGUGUGCCUUUUUGUAAGUACUUUAUGCAUAAGGAUCGGCUAACUCCGUGCCAGCAGCCGCGGUAAUACGGAGGCUCCGAGCGUUAUCCGGAUUUAUUGGGUUUAAAGGGAGCGUAGAUGGGUUGUUAAGUCAGUUGUGAAAGUUUGUGGCUCAACCGUAAAAUUGCAAUUGAUACUGGCAGUCUUGAGUACAGUUGAGGUAGGCGGAAUUCGUGGUGUAGCGGUGAAAUGCUGAGAUAUCACGAAGAACUCCGAGUGCGAAGGCAGCUUACUAAACUGCCACUGACAUUGAUGCUCGAAAGUGUGGGUAUCAAACAGGAGUAGAUACCCUGGUAGUC
rnacentral:rRNA from 1 species